GACGAACGCUGGCGACGUGCCUAAUACAUGCAAGUAGAACGCUGAAGGAGGAGCUUGCUUCUCUGGAUGAGUUGCGAACGGGUGAGUAACGCGUAGGUAACCUGCCUGGUAGCGGGGGAUAACUAUUGGAAACGAUAGCUAAUACCGCAUAAUAGUAGAUGUUGCAUGACAUUUGCUUAAAAGGUGCAAUUGCAUCACUACCAGAUGGACCUGCGUUGUAUUAGCUAGUUGGUGGGGUAACGGCUCACCAAGGCGACGAUACAUAGCCGACCUGAGAGGGUGAUCGGCCACACUGGGACUGAGACACGGCCCAGACUCCUACGGGAGGCAGCAGUAGGGAAUCUUCGGCAAUGGACGGAAGUCUGACCGAGCAACGCCGCGUGAGUGAAGAAGGUUUUCGGAUCGUAAAGCUCUGUUGUAAGAGAAGAACGAGUGUGAGAGUGGAAAGUUCACACUGUGACGGUAUCUUACCAGAAAGGGACGGCUAACUACGUG
rnacentral:rRNA from 1 species